rnacentral:rRNA from 1 species
GACGAACGCUGGCGGCGUGCUUAACACAUGCAAGUCGAACGGAAAGGCCCUGCUUUUGUGGGGUGCUCGAGUGGCGAACGGGUGAGUAACACGUGAGUAACCUGCCCUUGACUUUGGGAUAACUUCAGGAAACUGGGGCUAAUACCGGAUAGGAGCUCCUGCUGCAUGGUGGGGGUUGGAAAGUUUCGGCGGUUGGGGAUGGACUCGCGGCUUAUCAGCUUGUUGGUGGGGUAGUGGAUUACCAAGUCUUUGACGGGUAGCGGGCCUGGGAGGGGGACCGGCCACAUUGGGACUGAGAUACGGCCCAGACUCCUACGGGAGGCAGCAGUGGGGAAUAUUGCACAAUGGGCGGAAGCCUGAGACAGCAACCCCGCGUGCGGGAUGACGGCCUUCGGGUUGUAAACCGCUUUCGCCGGUGACGAAGCGUGCGUGACGGUAAUGGGUAAAGAAGCACCGGCUAACUACGUG